GAACCAGUACCGUGAGGGAAAGGCGAAAAGAACCCCGGCGAGGGGAGUGAAAAAGAACCUGAAACCGUGUACGUACAAGCAGUGGGAGCACCCUUCGGGGUGUGACUGCGUACCUUUUGUAUAAUGGGUCAGCGACUUAUAUUCUGUAGCAAGGUUAACCGAAUAGGGGAGCCGGAGGGAAACCGAGUCUUAACCGGGCGUUAAGUUGCAGGGUAUAGACCCGAAACCCGGUGAUCUAGCCAUGGGCAGGUUGAAGGUUGGGUAACACUAACUGGAGGACCGAACCGACUAAUGUUGAAAAAUUAGCGGAUGACCUGUGGCUGGGGGUGAAAGGCCAAUCAAACCGGGAGAUAGCUGGUUCUCCCCGAAAGCUAUUUAGGUAGCGCCUCGUGAAUUCAUCUCCGGGGGUAGAGCACUGUUUCGGCUAGGGGGCCAUCCCGGCUUACCAACCCGAUGCAAACUGCGAAUACCGGAGAAUGUUAUCACGGGAGACACACGGCGGGUGCUAACGUCCGUCGUGAAGAGGGAAACAACCCAGACCGCCAGCUAAGGUCCCAAAGUCAUGGUUAAGUGGGAAACGAUGUGGGAAGGCCCAGACAGCCAGGAUGUUGGCUUAGAAGCAGCCAUCAUUUAAAGAAAGCGUAAUAGCUCACUGGUCGAGUCGGCCUGCGCGGAAGAUGUAACGGGGCUAAACCAUGCACCGAAGCUGCGGCAGCGA
rnacentral:rRNA from 1 species